rnacentral:tRNA from 1 species
UGCAUCGGCCGGGAAUCGAACCCGGGCCGCCCGCGUGGCAGGCAAGCAUUUUACCACUAAGCCACCGAUGC